AUACGUAGGGAGCGAGCGUUGUCCGGAUUUACUGGGUGUAAAGGGUGCGUAGGCGGGUCUGCAAGUCAGACGUGAAAUACCGGGGCUUAACUCCGGGGCUGCGUUUGAAACUGUAGAUCUUGAGUGAAGUAGAGGUAAGCGGAAUUCCUGGUGUAGCGGUGAAAUGCGUAGAUAUCAGGAGGAACACCGGUGGCGAAGGCGGCUUACUGGGCUUUUACUGACGCUGAGGCUCGAAAGCGUGGGGAGCAAACAGGAUUAGAUACCCUGGUAGUCCACGCUGUAAACGAUGAUUACUAGGUGUGGGGGACUGACCCCUUCCGUGCCGCAGUUAACACAAUAAGUAAUCCACCUGGGGAGUACGGCCGCAAGGUUGAAACUCAAAUGAAUUGACGGGG
rnacentral:rRNA from 1 species